AUGAACCUUCCCCAAAUUCUGUUUUCCUGACCCUCGACAUCUGCUCAGAAACCUUCAAGAGCUCCCUGGAGCUGUCCCAUGGCCUGCAGACAUGGAAAGACCUACGAGCAGGAAUCAGGGUCAAUCAUAGGGAUCCUAUUUCCCAUACAGCAUCCAACACAACUCUAGCUAAGCAGAGGUGAGGGAGAGUCUGCGAAGAGGCCUCCAAGCUUCCACACUCUGCUCACUCCCAAGAAGGAGCUCCAGGGGAAGGCUGUCUCCCUUCCUUCCCUGGAUACUGCCUGGAUGUGAACUUGGACCUGCUGAGCCAUCUGGCUACCUGCCUGAAGACAGGACCUACAGGAAUGGCAAAGCCGGGAAAGGACUGGAACCUGGAGGACGAGUCAAGGACCAUCAGGUGCCUGGAGCCAAGACAAUGGCCGGGCUUAGUCAUGUUUCUUUAUUGUCUAAACCAGGUGCAGACAAAAGCUCGCUAACUGGUACAGACCGUAAACUCCCCAGAUGCAGAAACCACGCACGUGUUUUCUCAGCACCCAUCUCAGACACGGAGGAGUCUUCCAGACACUUUAAAAUGUCACAAAUGACAACAGUGCUGGAUGAAAGCUGAUGACAUAUCCUUAUUGUCAACUCUCCAUCUUCGAGCAGACAAGAUCACAUCACACACCUCUUCUCAAUCAGCAGUUUCCUCUUACUAUUCUGACAUGUCCCUGAAAAACCUUCCUAUCACCUGGAUCUUCCCCAGAUCUUACUUUUACACAGUGCAUCUGGGCUAGGUGCGGUGGCUCAUGCCUGUAAUCUCACCACUUUGAGAGGCUGAGGCGGGCGGAUCACUUGAGGUCAGGAGUUCGAAACCAGCCUGGCCAACAUGGUGAAACCCCCGUCUCUACUAAAAAUAUUUUUUUAAAUUACCUGGGCGUGGUGGUGCAUGCCUGUAAUCCCCGCCACUUGGGAGGCUGAGGCAGGAGAAUCACUUGAACCCGGGAGGCGGAGGUUGCAGCGAGCCCAGAUCACGCCACUGCACCAUAGCCUGGGCAACAAGAGUGAAACUCUGUCUUUAAAAAAAAAAAAAAAGUGUCUGCAUCGAAUUUCCUCUGCAGGUGGGUAGCCUCAUCAGUUAGUGCUGACGACUCUGCUUUUAGAGAUCCCCACAUUGCCACCUUCCCCCACCUCUGCCUUGGGCACUGAGUACAGGGUUAAGAGUUCCCUGGAGCCACAACUGCUCAGAACUGCUUGGUGGAAACUCAGCUCAGCCUUUUAUCAGCUUACCCAAAACACAACUUCCCUGAGUGUCAGUUUCUUUACCUGUAAGUUGUGAUAACAAUAGUUUCUCUUCAUAGGUGGACUAUGAACAUUCAGUGAAUUGAAAUAGGUAGAUGCACUUAAAGGGUGGGGCCUGGCACCGAAUCAGUGCUCAAUAAACACUGUCUGUUUGUAGUAUUUUUGCCUCCAAUUGUAGCUAUCUGUCUUGUCCACAGCCAAAGAGCCCGGGUGACCCUAUGUCAGUGGAAGUGGGGACUAGGGAGAACUGAACCACAAAGGAAGAUUCGAUCCCCACAAAAUGUAAAAGUCAAGCUUGUGGAACUUUCUACUCACCGUCUCCAGGUGGCCCUCAGCCCCACCAGUAGUAAUGAACAGUAACCCACUGCCCUCCUGAGGUUAGUGAGAAGUGGCUUAGUGUCACUUUAAAAUCAAUCCGCAGGGAGCAAAAUCCUAAGGGUAGAAGGAGAGGCUGCCACUUGAAAAAGAAGAGGAAGGCAGGGUAAGGCCUAGGUCUUGCAGCAAAAAAAGAAAGUGCAUCUCAGGAGGCCACCUGAGCCGGGAAGGCGCGUUCCCGACGUGCCUCCAUUCACAAGACGUCCAGGUGGAUUUAGCGUCUUCCGCUGCCACACGCAAAGAUGACUAAGAUGCAGCAAUAGGCAGCUCACAGUCAGGGACCAGGGAAUAAAUGCGCAGAUAAUUCACAACAUGACAACUGCGAUCAUGUCUGGUGACAGGGACUCAGAAUUAAGAGCCCCGGUGCCCAGGGAUGGCCAGGGAAGGUCACAGAGGCCGCAGAGCUGCAGCCGGGUCUAUCUCAGGCACCGCUUAUUCACCUCUGUACCCCAGAACCUGGCACUGUCCAAGAAGAUGCUGGUAUCCACGUGGUUGCUCAGUGAGUGAGUGGAUGAGUAAAUGAAUGGAAGGAGUUACUAAAACCAAUUAUAAAGUCUGACUGGUCAAGGUGGUUCAAGCCUGUAAUCCCAGCACUUUGGGAGGCCAAGGCGGGUGGAUCACGAGGUCAGGAGUUUGAGACCAGCCUGGCCAACAUGGUGAAACCCCAUCUCUACUAAAAA
rnacentral:lncRNA from 1 species